UAUGAGCUAUUCUGUAUCCUACAUGCUGCAAAUGAUUUUAGCUAUUAUGAAAUUUCUUGUUUAUAUGUUUGGCUUAUUUCUCUUUCUUUCUUUUGUUCUUUCCUUCUUUCUUUCUUUCUUUCUUUCUUUCUCUCUCUCACUAGUCACAUAGUUGUACAACUCUGUUUGAGUUAAAAAUUUCUCCUUAACAACUAGUAGUUUCUUGUGGAAUAUACUAUAUAUCGUCGAUUGUCAGAGCUGGUCAUCUAACAAUGGUCAUUACUUUGGAAGGUUUGGGAUUGUUUGCCACAACACCUAUUUACUGACACAUGCUGUUGGUGCUCUUCAUUUACUUUAGAAUGUGUCGGGGGAGACAGAAAGCUGGAGAAAAAGAAGUUGCUUUGAUUGGUGCAAAUU
rnacentral:lncRNA from 1 species